rnacentral:rRNA from 1 species
UACGGAGGGGGCUAGCGUUGUUCGGAAUUAUUGGGCGUAAAGGGCGCGUAGGCGGCUUUGCAAGUGACGGGUGAAAUCCCUCGGCUUAACCGAGGAACUGCCUGUCAAACUGCAUGGCUUGAGACCGGGAGAGGUGAGUGGAAUUCCCAGUGUAGCGGUGAAAUGCGUAGAUAUUGGGAGGAACACCAGUGGCGAAGGCGGCUCACUGGACCGGUACUGACGCUGAUGCGCGAAAGCGUGGGGAGCAAACAGG